UUGUACACCGGGUUCAAUUCUGUUUAGAAACAGAGAAAUAUUCUUUAAAUGAAAAUGGACUAAAGACUAGCUCCGGAUAUAGAAGAAGAUUAUAGAUCCAAAUUCCAAAACUUUCGCGAGCCCGAACUUUCUUAGCUAAACAAAAAGAAAUCUAAUAUAAAAAUAAGAAGAAGAAACAACCAAGGAACGAUAAGAGGUAAUUAUGCUAUAAAAAGCGGUCACUUGUCUUGGUUCUCGAGGAUAGAAAUCAAGUUUGCACAAUCGGAAGCGAAAAUACCAAACAUCUUGCCGGUAGAGAUCAUGCAUUAAUUCCAUUGCCCAUAACAGAUAAUCAAAUUCUGCAUGGAGCGACAAUAAACUCCGACGGCUACUUCUGAGACCUUGAUGAAGAACUAAGUUUUGUUUCACUAGAACCCAACUAUAUCCGCUCAGAGCCAUCUUCAUGCCAAGGCGCAUUAAACAGAGAUCAAGAUAGGGGGAUCU
rnacentral:sRNA from 1 species